AUGAUGAAUACUACUAAUGACCAUCAUAUAUCACAAGAUAAGAUAGACCAUGCUCGUCUCUUGAUAAACAACAACAACAACAAGAAAACACACAAGAUCUGUAUUGUAUCGGCCAUGCAAAUUGGCUGGGUAUAUCCAAAAAUGUUGUUGUUACCUCUUGUUCUUCUGCCAAAAAAUCACUCUUCCAGGUCCCCUCCUUACCCAGCCAUGUAUCUAUGUCAACUUCAAUUAUUAAACAUGCAAGCCAGACAGACAGACAGACAGAGGUUACGGGUUACCUGCACUGCACUGCCUAGGAUGAUAUGA
rnacentral:rRNA from 1 species